rnacentral:rRNA from 1 species
GGGCCCGCACAAGCGGUGGAGUAUGUGGUUUAAUUCGAUGCAACGCGAAGAACCUUACCAGGGUUUGACAUCCUCAGAAGAGACUGGAGACAGUCUUGUGCCUUCGGGAACUGAGAGACAGGUGCUGCAUGGCUGUCGUCAGCUCGUGUUGUGAAAUGUUGGGUUAAGUCCCGCAACGAGCGCAACCCUUAUCCUUGUUUGCCAGCGAGUCAUGUCGGGAACUCCAGGGAGACUGCCGGUGAUAAACCGGAGGAAGGUGGGGACGACGUCAAGUCAUCAUGGCCCUUACGAGUAGGGCUACACACGUGCUACAAUGGCGCAUACAGAGGGCAGCCAACUUGCGAAAGUGAGCGAAUCCCAAAAAGUGCGUCGUAGUCCGGAUUGGAGUCUGCAACUCGACUCCAUGAAGUCGGAAUCGCUAGUAAUCGUAGAU